AGAAUAUCAGGGAACUAUUGUCAUCAACUGAAAGAGGCAAAAAAAGACUUUUCGUGCAUAUGUGACACUGAUUCCUCCUCUGCAUUCUGCAGGACUGGCUUAUUAUGGCUCUUCUCUCUUGAAACCUGUACCAGGAGACCUCCUGAAUGCAACACACAGGCAUCACAGACACAUCAAACUGCUACUUUUUAUUUUUCCUUUCUCUUUUUUUAAAAUAGGAAUAAUUUUGUUGUUUACAGUUUAUCAGCAUGGUGUUAUGUUCCGUUUAUUAUCAGGAUGUUUCCUUCUAAGCCAUUAUUUACUGUGGCUAAUAACUGAUUUAUUGGAGCUUCUCUGGGUUAGGCAUUUUUAUCAGGAUGAUUAACUAACAAAUUAGAAAUUACACACUGGUAACAUCCAGCUUGUUAAGGAUUUGUAAAGAUUAUUGUUGAGUAAAUAAACAUUAACAGCAACCA